GUGGUAGCUCAGUGGUGAAGGUGUUGGACUUCUGAUCAGAAGGUCCUGAGUUCAACUCCCAGCACCACA